rnacentral:piRNA from 1 species
ACCUGCACUCUUUGGAUUCCAGACGGAU